UACGUAGGGUGCGAGCGUUAAUCGGAUUUACUGGGCGUAAAGCGUACGUAGGCGGCUUGUUAAGCAAGAUGUGAAAUCCCCGGGCUCAACCUGGGAAUGGCAUUUUGAACUGGCAGGCUCGAGUUCUGAAGAGGGUGGUAGAAUUUCCAGUGUAGCGGUGAAAUGCGUAGAUAUUGGAAGGAAUACCGGUGGCGAAGGCGGCCACCUGGUCAGAAACUGACGCUGAGGUACGAAAGCGUGGGGAGCAAACAGG
rnacentral:rRNA from 1 species